rnacentral:rRNA from 1 species
GACGAACGCUGGCGGCGUGCUUAACACAUGCAAGUCGAACGGUGAAGCGCCUUCCUUUUUGGUGGGUGUGGAUGAGUGGCGAACGGGUGAGUAACACGUGAGUAACCUGCCCCCUUCUUCUGGAUAACCGCAUGAAAGUGUGGCUAAUACGGGAUAUUCUGGGUCUGUCGCAUGAUGGGUCUGGGAAAGAUAUUGUUUCGGUGGGGGAUGGGCUCGCGGCCUAUCAGCUUGUUGGUGGGGUGAUGGCCUACCAAGGCGGUGACGGGUAGCCGGCCUGAGAGGGUGGACGGUCACACUGGGACUGAGACGCGGCCCAGACUCCUACGGGAGGCAGCAGUGGGGAAUAUUGCACAAUGGGCGCAAGCCUGAUGCAGCGACGCCGCGUGAGGGAUGGAGGCCUUCGGGCUGUGAACCUCUUUCGCCAGUGAAGCAGGCCUGCCUCGUUUGUGGGUGGGUUGACGGUAGCUGGAUAAGAAGCGCCGGCUAACUACGUG